UGAUUCUGCAAUUCUUCUGCCCUUGC
rnacentral:piRNA from 4 species